rnacentral:rRNA from 1 species
GACGAACGCUGGCGGCGCGCUUAACACAUGCAAGUCGAGCGAUGAAACUUUAACAGAACCCUUCGGGGCGUAGAUAAAGUGGAUUAGCGGCGGACUGGUGAGUAACACGUUAGUAACCUGCCUUAGACAUUGGGAUAGCCUCGGUAAACCGGGAUUAAUACCAAAUAAAAUCAUAAUGACACAUGUCAUAACUAUCAAAACUCCAGUGGUCUAAGAUGGACGCGCGUCCCAUUAGCUAGUUGGUAGAUUAAAAGCCUACCAAGGCGACGCUGGGUAGCCGGCCUGAGAGGGUGAACGGCAACAUUGGAACUGAGAAACGGUCCAAACUCCUACGGGAGGCAGCAGUGGGGAAUAUUGCACAAUGGAGGGAACUCGGAUGCAGCGACGCCGCGUGAACGAAGAAGGCUUUCGAGUCGUAAAGUUCUUUUAUAUGGGAAGAUAAUGACGGUACCAAAAGAAAAAGCCCCGGCUAACUACGUG